GUUGUUAUCAUCUUGGUGGAAUAAAGAGACGUAUGGUAAGGAGAAAGAAGUGUAUAUAAAGUACAUCAAGAUGCAGGAAGACUCAUACCACCGCGCCAUGAAGCUGUCACUUGCAUCCCUCCUAGCGCUGUUGCUCCUCGCCGUGGCGCUGGGCACACACCCAUCGCAGGCUGAUCCCGGCCCAGCGAAGGAAGAUGCAAGGCAAAGGAAUGGAAUGAAUAUUGCCGAAGAGGUGGACCGCGCCCGCUCAUUCGGUCCAGGAGAUCACGUGCUGUACCGCCGCAGCAAGAGCCAGGGGACCGGUCUGCCUAUCACUGAUCGACCCCGGUGGAGGACCAGCACGGACAGGUACCCGAGUUUCAUCUAUUUCCCAAACCCGCGGCGGAUUCGCAGAAGGGGUUAGGGCGACGGUACAGUGUGUUCAGGAGCACUAAGCAGGCUGCGGGAUGACAAAGACCACCAGUUCAGGCCAGCAGAGCACUCAGAAACAUGUUCAAGUUGAUGGCCUUGAUUACUGUAUCUUGAAAACUCACCAUGAUCAAAUAACCUGAUUCCCUCUUCUUAACUUUCACGAGGGAUGGCAGUUACUAUAAGUGGUCCUUUUUUUUUUUUUCAGUCGUUUUGUAGCCCUUGACGUCUCCUUGUAACACGUGAGAAAAUAAAUAGAUAAAAAUUAAUGUAAUGUUGAUUCUUCUAUUCUCAGUCUUGGCAUGUAUUCCCAACACUGAUACACGUCAUCUUACAUUGUGUAUCAGUGCCUUGGAAUCUCAUUCUGCACAUGUGUCAAAGAUUUUUAUGUCGAAGGCUGUCGGAAUCUCGCCGCCACCUUAAUCAUUACUAAACCAUUGUUCUGCUCCUCAAUAUUUUAUCAUUGUAACCUUUGAAAAAUAUAACAAAACCUUUUAU